rnacentral:rRNA from 2 species
GUCGAGCGACUGAUUAGAAGCUUGCUUCUAUGACGUUAGCGGCGGACGGGUGAGUAACACGUGGGCAACCUGCCUGUAAGACUGGGAUAACUCCGGGAAACCGGAGCUAAUACCGGAUAACAUUUUUUCUUGCAUAAGAGAAAAUUUGAAAGAUGGUUUCGGCUAUCACUUACAGAUGGGCCCGCGGUGCAUUAGCUAGUUGGUGAGGUAACGGCUCACCAAGGCAAACGAUGCAUAGCCGACCUGAGAGGGUGAUCGGCCACACUGGGACUGAGACACGGCCCAGACUCCUACGGGAGGCAGCAGUGAACGAUGCAUAGCCGACCUGAGAGGGUGAUCGGCCACACUGGGACUGAGACACGGCCCAGACUCCUACGGGAGGCAGCAGUGA